rnacentral:rRNA from 1 species
GCGCGAAAACUUUACAAUGCUGGCAACAGCGAUAAGGGAACCUCGCGUGCCAGGUUACAAAUCUGGCUGUCGAGAUGCCUAAAAAGCAUUUCAUAGCAAGGGCCGGGCAAGACCGGUGCCAGCCGCCGCGGUAACACCGGCGGCUCGAGUGGUAACCGUUAUUAUUGGGUCUAAAGGGUCUGUAGCCGGCCGGAUAAGUCUCUUGAGAAAUCUGGCAGCUUAACUGUCAGGCUUUCAGGAGAUACUGUCUGGCUCGAGCCCGGGGGAGGGGGGAGGAACUUCAGGGGUAGGGGGGAAAUAUGGUAAUCUUUGAGGAACAACAAGUGCGGAGGGCGCCUCACCGGAACGAACCUGAGGGCAAGGGACAAAGGCUAGGGCACGAACCG